rnacentral:snRNA from 1 species
GUGUUUGCUUCAGUUGCACAUAUACUAAAAUUGAAAUGAGACAGAGAAGAUUAGCAUGGCCCCUGUGCAAGGAUGACUUGCAAAUUUGUGAAGUGUUCCACAUUAUG